rnacentral:tRNA from 1 species
GCCGGAGUGGUGGAAUUGGCAGACACAGGGGACUUAAAAUCCCCUGCCCCUCACGGGGUGUACGGGUUCAACUCCCGUCUCCGGCA